UACGAAGGGGGGCUAGCGUUUGCUCGGAAUUACUGGGGCGUAAAGCGCGCGUAGGCGGCUUUGUAAGUUAGAGGUGAAAGCCCGGAGCUCAACUCCGGAACUGCCUUUAAGACUGCAUCGCUAGAACGUCGGAGAGGUGAGUGGAAUUCCGAGUGUAGAGGUGAAAAUUCGUAGAUAUUCGGAAGAACACCAGUGGCGAAGGCGGCUCACUGGCCCGAUACUGACGCUGAGGCACGAAAAGCGUGGGGGAGCAAACAGG
rnacentral:rRNA from 1 species